UGCUCUUUCAUAGGUUUAUGAAAUUCUGAGGCGCACAGCCUGCACAAAGACGUGUCAAACUAUGGGUAUUUCAUCACUGCUAGCUAAAGGGGUUUAUGAUUCUGCCUUCCCUCUGCAUGAUGGAGACUUUGACAGCUCAGAAGAUAAAGAGCAUCGCAACGACAGACAGAUGUUGCAUGAGGAAUGGGCUAAUUAUGGAGCUUGCUACAAAUAUCAGCCAAUGGACCUUAUAAGGU